GGCGAAAGGGUGAGUAAUGCUUGGAUGACCUGCCCUCGAGUUGGGGACAACAGUUCGAAAGGACUGCUAAUACCCGAUAGUCCGUACCGGAUGCGUCCGGGUCGGUAAAGGUUGAUUCCGCUCGUGGAGGGGUCCAAGUCCUAUCAGCUUGUUGGUGAGGUAACGGCUCACCAAGGCGAUGGCGGGUAGCCGGACUGAGAGGUUGGCCGGCCACAUGGGAACUGAGACACUGUCCUG
rnacentral:rRNA from 1 species